UACGUAGGGUGCGAGCGUUGUUCGGAAUUACUGGGCGUAAAGGGCGCGUAGGCGGCCUUCUAAGUCGAACGUGAAAUCCCUGGGCUCAACCCAGGAACUGCGUCCGAUACUGAAAGGCUUGAUCCGGGAGAGGGAUGCAGAAUUCCAGGUGUAGCGGUGAAAUGCGUAGAUAUCUGGAGGAAUACCGGUGGCGAAGGCGGCAUCCUGGCCGAGAUUGACACUGAGGAGCGAAGCCAGGGGAGCAAACGGG
rnacentral:rRNA from 1 species